GUGGGGAAUAUUGGGCAAUGGGCGAAAGCCUGACCCAGCAACGCCGCGUGAGGGAAGAAGGCCUUCGGGUUGUAAACCUCUGUCCUUGGUGACGAAAAAAAUGACGGUAGCCAAGGAGGAAGCCCCGGCUAACUACGUGCCAGCAGCCGCGGUAAUACGUAGGGGGCGAGCGUUGUCCGGAAUUACUGGGCGUAAAGGGUGCGUAGGUGGCCUUUUAAGUUGGAUGUGAAAUACCCGGGCUUAACUUGGGGGGUGCAUCUAAUACUGGAGGGCUAGAGUGCAGGAGAGGGAAGCGGAAUUCCUAGUGUAGCGGUGAAAUGCGUAGAUAUAGGAAGGAACACCAGUGGCGAAGGCGACUACCUGGACUGAUACUGACACUGAGGUGCGAAAGCGUGGGGAGCAAACAGGAUUAGAAACCCGUGUAGUCC
rnacentral:rRNA from 1 species